AAUGAACGUUGGCGGCAUGGAUUAGGCGUGCAAGUCGAGCGCGAAGAGUCAUUUGCUUGCAUUUGACUCUGAAAGCGGCGUAAGGGUGAGUAACGCGUAGUUACCUACCUCCGGGUCCGGAAUAGCUGCGGGAAACUGCAGGUAAUGCCGGAUAAUAUCUCAGGAUCAAAGGUGAGAUUCCGCCCGGAGAGGGGACUGCGUCCUACUAGCUUGUUGGUGGGGUAAUGGCCUACCAAGGCUUCGAUGGGUAGCGGGCGUGAGAGCGUGGCCCGUCACACUGGGACUGAAACACUGCCCAGACACCUACGGGUGGCUGCAGUCGAGAAUCUUCGGCAAUGGGCGAAAGCCUGACCGAGCAAUGCCGCGUGCGGGAUGAAGGCCCUCGGGUUGUAAACCGCGAAAGUAAGGAGGAAGGACCUGCGAAGAGCAGGUUUUGACCGAUCUACAGUAAGGACGGGCUAAGUCCGUGCCAGCAGCCGCGGUAA
rnacentral:rRNA from 1 species